GAUGAACGCUAGCUACAGGCUUAACACAUGCAAGUCGAGGGGAAACGAUAUUGGAAGCUUGCUUCCGAUAGGCGUCGACCGGCGCACGGGUGAGUAACGCGUAUCCAACCUGCCCACCACUUGGGGAUAACCUUGCGAAAGUAAGACUAAUACCCAAUGACGUCCAUAGAAGACAUCUGAAAUGGAUUAAAGAUUUAUCGGUGAUGGAUGGGGAUGCGUCUGAUUAGCUUGUUGGCGGGGUAACGGCCCACCAAGGCGACGAUCAGUAGGGGUUCGGAGAGGAAGGUCCCCCACAGUGGAACUGAGACACGGUCCAAACUCCUACGGGAGGCAGCAGUGAGGAAUAUUGGUCAAGGGGCGAGAGCCUGAACCAGCCAAGUAGCGUACAGGAUGACGGCCCUAUGGGUUGUAAACUGCUUUUAUAAGGGAAUAAAGUGAGCCUCGUGAGGCUUUUUGCAUGUACCUUAUGAAUAAGGACCGGCUAAUUCCGUGCCAGCCGCCGCCGUAA
rnacentral:rRNA from 1 species